CGUAGGGGCGCGAACCGGCUUCCGAAAGGAGGAAAGUCCGCCCAUCAAAAAGAUGCCAUUGAAGGCUUCAAAGUUUUCACUGGCUGCUGGAAAAGGCGCUUCCGAAAGGAAGUUCCCGCACAGGGAAGUCAACAGCACAGAAACGCAACGGCUGUUAUCGGCAAUGAGCCCAUGAUGCCCUUGGUGACAGGGGCUAAAGGCGAGCAGCUUUAACAGAUACGGUGGAACGGCUAGAACCGCCUGAUGCAAGUCCAAACGGACGCUUAGUUGAAUGCCGGCAAGUGGCUCCAAGUCAUCCCUUGUGGAAUGGCGCUAAAGGACACUUACAAAAGGCGGCUUAUCCGCCCCUACG
rnacentral:RNase_P_RNA from 1 species